CACGUAGGAGGCGAGCGUUGUCCGGAAUCAUUGGGCGUAAAGAGCGCGCAGGCGGCUUGGCAAGUCGGGUGUGAAAUCCCGGGGCUCAACCCCGGGACUGCAUUCGAUACUGUCAGGCUAGAGGUAGGUAGGGGAGAUCGGAAUUCCUGGUGUAGCGGUGAAAUGCGCAGAUAUCAGGAGGAACACCGGUGGCGAAGGCGGAUCUCUGGGCCUUACCUGACGCUGAGGAGCGAAAGUGUGGGGAGCGAACAGG
rnacentral:rRNA from 1 species